rnacentral:rRNA from 1 species
UACAGAGGAUGCAAGCGUUAUCCGGAAUGAUUGGGCGUAAAGCGUCUGUAGGUGGCUUUUUAAGUCCGCCGUCAAAUCCCAGGGCUCAACUCUGGACAGGCGGUGGAAACUACCAAGCUGGAGUACGGUAGGGGCAGAGGGAAUUUCCGGUGGAGCGGUGAAAUGCGUAGAGAUCCGGAAGAACACCGGUGGCGAAGGCGGCCCGCUGGGCAGUGACUGACGCUGAGGCGCGACAGCGUGGGGAGCAAACAGG